rnacentral:rRNA from 1 species
GGGGAAUAUUGGACAAUGGGCGAAAGCCUGAUCCAGCCAUGCCGCGUGUGUGAAGAAGGUCUUCGGAUUGUAAAGCACUUUAAGUUGGGAGGAAGGGCAGUAAGUUAAUACCUUGCUGUUUUGACGUUACCAACAGAAUAAGCACCGGCUAACUUCGUGCCAGCAGCCGCGGUAAUACGAAGGGUGCAAGCGUUAAUCGGAAUUACUGGGCGUAAAGCGCGCGUAGGUGGUUCAGCAAGUUGGAUGUGAAAUCCCCGGGCUCAACCUGGGAACGACUCCAAAACCACCGAGGUUGAGGUACGUUGAGGGUGGUGGAAUUUCCUGUGUAGCGGUGAAAUGCGUAGAUAUAGGAAGGAACACCAGUGGCGAAGGCGACCACCUGGACUGAUACUGACACUGAGGUGCGAAAGCGUGGGGAGCAAACA